rnacentral:lncRNA from 1 species
AUGGAUGACGAUGGUGACAAGAAGAGAAAAGGCAGGAAGGACUCCAAGUCGAAAAAGUCAAAGAAAGGAAGACGCAGCCCUGUCACUUUGGUGGAAGAAGCUCCGAAAUUACCUACGCCACCUCCUGAAUAUGUCACUGUCAAGAAAGUUGUGACGAAAGUAGUGCCGGCCCCUCAACUUCACUGCCACUUUGGUGCAGUGAAUGGGAACAAAAUUGAUAUAAACCAGCAGUAUGCUUACUUCAUCCGUCAAUGUUACCAUCCAGUUCCACUUACUGAUACUUGGGAAGAAGCUGUGGCUGAGAUGCCUGUCUACUUCUUGGUUGGGUCUAUCAGCGGAAAUUUUUGCCUGGUCUCCGGACUUUAAUCAAACAAGUAAGAUUUCAUCAUUUCUGUGUGUAUACUAUUUGACUGCAUUUUACUAUCUCAGAAUUUCUCAGAAAUGCUAGAAGAUCUAGAGCUAUCUUUUGGGAGAAGGACACAUGAGCUUAUCGACGGUGAAACUACCAAACCACGUAUCUCGUUUGCGGUGUUUAAAAAUCUACGCUCGCAUUUUAUUUUUUUGAAGUAGACCAAAUCAAUAUCAUUCCUUGAAAUUUUCACAGAAUUUUCUCCGCACGAAGAGGAAAAAUCACAAAAAUUUUCAAGACUGGACGUUAAGUAGUUUUUAAUUUAAAAAAUAAAGUAUGACAGGUAGUCUGCGACGUCGCAAACCGAGAUACGUGGUUUGAUAGUUUCACCGUCGUUAU